rnacentral:rRNA from 1 species
CCUAACACAUGCAAGUCGAACGGUAACAGGAAGCAGCUUGCUGCUUCGCUGACGAGUGGCGGACGGGUGAGUAAUGUCUGGGAAGCUGCCUGAUGGAGGGGGAUAACUACUGGAAACGGUAGCUAAUACCGCAUAAUGUCGCAAGACCAAAGAGGGGGACCUUCGGGCCUCUUGCCAUCGGAUGUGCCCAGAUGGGAUUAGCUUGUUGGUGGGGUAACGGCUCACCAAGGCGACGAUCCCUAGCUGGUCUGAGAGGAUGACCAGCCACACUGGAACUGAGACACGGUCCAGACUCCUACGGGAGGCAGCAGUGGGGAAUAUUGCACAAUGGGCGCAAGCCUGAUGCAGCCAUGCCGCGUGUAUGAAGAAGGCCUUCGGGUUGUAAAGACCU